UUUGUCUCUUCCUCUCUCUCUGACUCCCUCUUUAUGUCUCUGUCUCUUCCUCUCUCUCUGCCUUUUUCUCUCUUUUUCCUCUCUCUCGCUCUCUUUCCUCUCUGCUGGUCUUUCCUGCCUCUGCCAGCUGCUUAUGCGGCUGUUCUCCCCUCUCCUUCCCCUUUUAUCCUGGAGACUAAAAGUUCCUCUGAGGAGGUGGCAACAUUAGACGGGGGGAAACAAACAGAGGAGUGAGC
rnacentral:lncRNA from 1 species